UAAAACAUCAAAUAUCUUGGUGAUCUGCUUAAUCCACAUCUCUUCCUUAAGUGGUUCUGGCUUUCCCAAAACUCCGGUGGUCCUAACUCCUUGAACUUCUUAGCAGUGACCAGCCGUGAGUUGCCAAUGUUUCCACCUACAUUUGGAACAUGAGUCUCUCUCGUUUGGUUUUGCAUGAAUUCUAGAAAACUCCUAAACAUACCAUCGUUCGCCAUUUGGUCGGUAUUGUUGUUUACACGAGGAUUAUUGCCUUCCUGAUGCACAUUAUCCUGGUUAUUGAUCGUUAGUGACUCAACGGUCUCAUGUGCUCCAUUGCUUAGCUCAAUAUUUUAAGAUGUCAUUUUCAAACACUGCCACAAAACAAGGGUUAAUUGACAUGCCACAUAUCAUCCCUAUAUUCUGACCAACCAAUUAAAUAACAAAUAAACUUAGGUAGGUCAUACUAGCGAAGAAAUUACCCAUCUCUCCCCUCCUUGUUCUAGUCUCACAUCUCAGCCAAGGAUCAUAUUCCUAAGCUUUGAUACCAAAUGUGACGCCCCUAAAAUAGGUAUACAUCACCCAUUCUGAGUCGCCAAAUACAUGGUACAUAAAUCAAAUACAACUUUAUUAUUACAACUAUUAAGUGUCGUGCAGAAUACGACAAAACAUAAGCUGUGAGUUUUAAUACAAAUAUUGUCUUCUAGACAAUAUCCAAACUCAAAUUCAAUCUCAUUAUAAUUAUUAUCACACUAUUUCACAGAAAAGUGAGGACUACUAAAACCACCAUUUGGACCGUCAAUCCAUUCUCCGACUAGUCCCAACUAUAUUCUCAUUUCCUAAAGAGAACAGUGAAAGAAAAGGGUGAGCUCAACUAGCCCAGUAAGAAAUAUUAUGACUAAGAUAAUGCAAAAUAGAUUAUCCUUAGCCUUCAACAGUAUAACAACUGAUAGAAUACAAUAACCAACAAGUUUUAGAUCAACAACUGCAUCAGAAUAAGCAAUCCAUUAGAAGAGUCAAGUAGACCAUGACAUCUACUAUCUUCUAUGAUUUAAAAGUUUAUCAUCAAUUUUAUCGCUGAGACUUAGCUUAAUAAAUAAUCCACAUCACUGAAUUAUCCAUGCACUACAGGCCAAGGAUAUUCAUUAGUAUCACGACCACAAAUUAUCCAUGCACUACGGGC
rnacentral:lncRNA from 1 species